rnacentral:misc_RNA from 1 species
AAAGUCGUAACAAGGUUUCCGUAGGUGAACCUGCGGAAGGAUCAUUACCGAGUUAGGGUAGUCACUCACUGCCCGACCUCCCAACCCUGUGUCUACUACACUUUGUCGUUGCUUCGGCGGACCGGUUGACCAACUGGUCGUGACCGCCGGGGGCUGGCUCAGUCCCCCCUGGAGAGCGUCCGCCGACGGCCCAACCACAAAAACUCUUGUACCGAAACGUGUCGUCUGAAUUAUUGAGAAAUCAAAAACAAAACUUUCAACAACGGAUCUCUUGGUUCUG